rnacentral:rRNA from 1 species
CCUACGGGGCGCAGCAGUCGAGAAUCAUUCACAAUGGGGGAAACCCUGAUGGUGCGACGCCGCGUGGGGGAAUGAAGGUCUUCGGAUUGUAAACCCCUGUCAUGUGGGGGCAAAUUAAAAAGAUAGUACCACAAGAGGAAGAGACGGCUAACUCUGUGCCAGCAGCCGCGGUAAUACAGAGGUCUCAAGCGUUGUUCGGAAUCACUGGGCGUAAGGCGUGCGUAGGCUGUUUCGUAAGUCGUGUGUGAAAGGCGCGGGCUCAACCCGCGGACGGCACAUGAUACUGCGAGACUAGAGUAAUGGAGGGGGAACCGGAAUUCUCGGUGUAGCAGUGAAAUGCGUAGAUAUCGAGAGGAACACUCGUGGCGAAGGCGGGUUCCUGGACAUUAACUGACGCUGAGGCACGAAGGCCAGGGGAGCGAAAGGGAUUAGAUACCCCAGUAGUC